GGUUAAGCGACUAAGCGUACACGGUGGAUGCCCUGGCAGUCAGAGGCGAUGAAGGACGUGCUAAUCUGCGAUAAGCGUCGGUAAGGUGAUAUGAACCGUUAUAACCGGCGAUUUCCGAAUGGGGAAAACCCAGUGUGUUUCGACACACUAUCAUUAACUGAAUCCAUAGGUUAAUGAGGCGAACCGGGGGAACUGAAACAUCUAAGUACCCCGAGGAAAAGAAAUCAACCGAGAUUCCCCCAGUAGCGGCGAGCGAACGGGGAGGAGCCCAGAGCCUGAAUCAGUGUGUGUGUUAGUGGAAGCGUCUGGAAAGGCGCGCGAUACAGGGUGACAGCCCCGUACACAAAAAUGCACAUGCUGUGAGCUCGAUGAGUAGGGCGGGACACGUGGUAUCCUGUCUGAAUAUGGGGGACCAUCCUCCAAGGCUAAAUACUCCUGACUGACCGAUAGUGAACCAGUACCGUGAGGGAAAGGCGAAAAAGAACCCCGGCGAGGGGAGUGAAAAAGAACCUGAAACCGUGUACGUACAAGCAGUGGGAGCACAGAGCAAUCUGUGUGACUGCGUACCUUUGUAUAAUGGGUCAGCGACUUAUAUUCUGUAGCAAGGUUAACCGAAUAGGGGAGCCGAAGGGAAACCGAGUCUUAACUGGGCGUUAAGUUGCAGGGUAUAGACCCGAAACCCGGUGAUCUAGCCAUGGGCAGGUUGAAGGUUGGGUAACACUAACUGGAGGACCGAACCGACUAAUGUUGAAAAAUUAGCGGAUGACUUGUGGCUGGGGGUGAAAGGCCAAUCAAACCGGGAGAUAGCUGGUUCUCCCCGAAAGCUAUUUAGGUAGCGCCUCGUGAAUUCAUCUCCGGGGGUAGAGCACUGUUUCGGCAAGGGGGUCAUCCCGACUUACCAACCCGAUGCAAACUGCGAAUACCGGAGAAUGUUAUCACGGGAGACACACGGCGGGUGCUAACGUCCGUCGUGAAGAGGGAAACAACCCAGACCGCCAGCUAAGGUCCCAAAGUCAUGGUUAAGUGGGAAACGAUGUGGGAAGGCCCAGACAGCCAGGAUGUUGGCUUAGAAGCAGCCAUCAUUUAAAGAAAGCGUAAUAGCUCACUGGUCGAGUCGGCCUGCGCGGAAGAUGUAACGGGGCUAAACCAUGCACCGAAGCUGCGGCAGCGACACUGUGUGUUGUUGGGUAGGGGAGCGUUCUGUAAGCCUGUGAAGGUGUGCUGUGAGGCAUGCUGGAGGUAUCAGAAGUGCGAAUGCUGACAUAAGUAACGAUAAAGCGGGUGAAAAGCCCGCUCGCCGGAAGACCAAGGGUUCCUGUCCAACGUUAAUCGGGGCAGGGUGAGUCGACCCCUAAGGCGAGGCCGAAAGGCGUAGUCGAUGGGAAACAGGUUAAUAUUCCUGUACUUGGUGUUACUGCGAAGGGGGGACGGAGAAGGCUAUGUUGGCCGGGCGACGGUUGUCCCGGUUUAAGCGUGUAGGCUGGUUUUCCAGGCAAAUCCGGAAAAUCAAGGCUGAGGCGUGAUGACGAGGCACUACGGUGCUGAAGCAACAAAUGCCCUGCUUCCAGGAAAAGCCUCUAAGCAUCAGGUAACAUCAAAUCGUACCCCAAACCGACACAGGUGGUCAGGUAGAGAAUACCAAGGCGCUUGAGAGAACUCGGGUGAAGGAACUAGGCAAAAUGGUGCCGUAACUUCGGGAGAAGGCACGCUGAUAUGUAGGUGAAGUCCCUCGCGGAUGGAGCUGAAAUCAGUCGAAGAUACCAGCUGGCUGCAACUGUUUAUUAAAAACACAGCACUGUGCAAACACGAAAGUGGACGUAUACGGUGUGACGCCUGCCCGGUGCCGGAAGGUUAAUUGAUGGGGUCAGCGCAAGCGAAGCUCUUGAUCGAAGCCCCGGUAAACGGCGGCCGUAACUAUAACGGUCCUAAGGUAGCGAAAUUCCUUGUCGGGUAAGUUCCGACCUGCACGAAUGGCGUAAUGAUGGCCAGGCUGUCUCCACCCGAGACUCAGUGAAAUUGAACUCGCUGUGAAGAUGCAGUGUACCCGCGGCAAGACGGAAAGACCCCGUGAACCUUUACUAUAGCUUGACACUGAACAUUGAGCCUUGAUGUGUAGGAUAGGUGGGAGGCUUUGAAGUGUGGACGCCAGUCUGCAUGGAGCCGACCUUGAAAUACCACCCUUUAAUGUUUGAUGUUCUAACGUGGACCCGUGAUCCGGGUUGCGGACAGUGUCUGGUGGGUAGUUUGACUGGGGCGGUCUCCUCCUAAAGAGUAACGGAGGAGCACGAAGGUUGGCUAAUCCUCGGUCGGACAUCAGGAGGUUAGUGCAAUGGCAUAAGCCAGCUUGACUGCGAGCGUGACGGCGCGAGCAGGUGCGAAAAGCAGGUCAUAGUGAUCCGGUGGUUCUGAAUGGAAGGGCCAUCGCUCAACGGAUAAAAGGUACUCCGGGGAUAACAGGCUGAUACCGCCCAAGAGUUCAUAUCGACGGCGGUGUUUGGCACCUCGAUGUCGGCUCAUCACAUCCUGGGGCUGAAGUAGGUCCCAAGGGUAUGGCUGUUCGCCAUUUAAAGUGGUACGCGAGCUGGGUUUAGAACGUCGUGAGACAGUUCGGUCCCUAUCUGCCGUGGGCGCUGGAGAACUGAGGGGGCUGCUCCUAGUACGAGAGGACCGGAGUGGACGCAUCACUGGUGUUCGGGUUGUCAUGCCAAUGGCACUGCCCGGUAGCUAAAUGCGGAAGAGAUAAGUGCUGAAAGCAUCUAAGCACGAAACUUGCCCCGAGAUGAGUUCUCCCUGACCCUUUAAGGGUCCUGGAAGGAACGUUGAAGACGACGACGUUGAUAGGCCGGGUGUGUAAGCGCAGCGAUGCGUUGAGCUAACCGGUACUAAUGAACCGUGAGGCUUAACCUU
rnacentral:rRNA from 1 species